UCGGGCGUGGUGUACGGGGCACGGCGGCUACCAUUUCGAGCACAUGUAAGAUUGCAGGCCGCAGACCGGGGUUCGACUCCCCGCGCCCGAA